UACGGAGGAGGCAAGCGUUAUCCGGAAUUAUUGGGCGUAAAGCGUCCGCAGGUGGCGAUUCAAGUCUGCGGUCAAAGACUGGGGCUUAACCCUGGAAAGGCCGUGGAAACUGAAUAGCUAGAGUGCAGUAGGGGUAGAGGGAAUUCCCGGUGUAGCGGUGAAAUGCGUAGAGCUCGGGAAGAACAUCGGUGGCGAAAGCGCUCUGCUGGACUGCAACUGACACUCAGGGACGAAGGCCAGGGGAGCAAACGGG
rnacentral:rRNA from 1 species